ACGGAAGGCAGCAGUAGGGAAUCUUCGGCAAUGGGGGCAACCCUGCCCGAGCAACGCCGCGUGAGUGAAGAAGGUUUUCGGAUCGUAAAGCUCUGUUGUAAGAGAAGAACGUGUGUGAGAGUGGAAAGUUCGCACAGUGACGGUAACUUACCAGAAAGGGACGGCUAACUACGUGCCAGCAGCCGCGGUAAUAAGUAGGUCCCGAGCGUUGUCCGGAUUUAUUGGGCGUAAAGCGAGCGCAGGCGGUUUAAUAAGUCUGAAGUUAAAGGCAGUGGCUUAACCAUUGUUCGCUUUGGAAACUGUUAGACUUGAGUGCAGAAGGGGAGAGUGGAAUUCCAUGUGUAGCGGUGAAAUGCGUAGAGAUAUGGAGGAACACCGGUGGCGAAAGCGGCUCUCUGGUCUGUAACUGACGCUGAGGCUCGAAAGCGUGGGGAGCAAACAGGAUUAGAUACCCUGGUA
rnacentral:rRNA from 1 species